AAGGCUUUGAAUUUCGUAUGAGCAUGCACUGAAAUUCGCUUCGGUGCGUGUUAAUUUUGAGAUGAGCCGAGAAAGAUGUUCUCCUCGCUAUCUAAUGCCGCAAUUUCUGUGUGGUAUUUGGACGUCGGAGAACUAAAUCC